CGGUUUCUUAAGUCUGAUGUGAAAGCCCCCGGCUCAACCGGGGAGGGUCAUUGGAAACUGGGGAACUUGAGUGCAGAAGAGGAGAGUGGAAUUCCACGUGUAGCGGUGAAAUGCGUAGAGAUGUGGAGGAACACCAGUGGCGAAGGCGACUCUCUGGUCUGUAACUGACGCUGAGGAGCGAAAGCGUGGGGAGCGAACAGGAUUAGAUACCCUGGUAGUCCACGCCGUAAACGAUGAGUGCUAAGUGUUAGGGGGUUUCCGCCCCUUAGUGCUGCAGCUAACGCAUUAAGCACUCCGCCUGGGGAGUACGGUCGCAAGACUGAAACUCAAAGGAAUUGACGGGGGCCCGCACAAGCGGUGGAGCAUGUGGUUUAAUUCGAAGCAACGCGAAGAACCUUACCAGGUCUUGACAUCCUCUGACAAUCCUAGAGAUAGGACGUCCCCUUCGGGGGCAGAGUGACAGGUGGUGCAUGGUUGUCGUCAGCUCGUGUCGUGAGAUGUUGGGUUAAGUCCCGCAACGAGCGCAACCCUUGAUCUUAGUUGCCAGCAUUCAGUUGGGCACUCUAAGGUGACUGCCGGUGACAAACCGGAGGAAGGUGGGGAUGACGUCAAAUCAUCAUGCCCCUUAUGACCUGGGCUACACACGUGCUACAAUGGACAGAACAAAGGGCAGCGAAACCGCGAGGUUAAGCCAAUCCCACAAAUCUGUUCUCAGUUCGGAUCGCAGUCUGCAACUCGACUGCGUGAAGCUGGAAUCGCUAGUAAUCGCGGAUCAGCAUGCCGCGGUGAAUACGUUC
rnacentral:rRNA from 1 species